GGAUUCCCCUAGUAACUGCGAGUGAAGCGGGAAAAGCUCAAAUUUAAAAUCUGGCAGUCUUUGGCUGUCCGAGUUGUAGUCUGGAGAAGUGCUUUCCGCGCUGGACCGUGUACAAGUCUCUUGGAAUAGAGCGUCAUAGAGGGUGAGAAUCCCGUCUUUGACACGGACUACCAGUGCUUUGUGAUGCGCUCUCAAAGAGUCGAGUUGUUUGGGAAUGCAGCUCAAAAUGGGUGGUAAAUUCCAUCUAAAGCUAAAUAUUGGCGAGAGACCGAUAGCGAACAAGUACCGUGAGGGAAAGAUGAAAAGCACUUUGGAAAGAGAGUUAAACAGUACGUGAAAUUGCUGAAAGGGAAACGAUUGAAGUCAGUCGCGUUGGCCAGAACUCAGCCUUGCUUUUGCUUGGUGCAUUUUCUGGUUAACGGGCCAGCAUCAAUUUUGACCGCUGGAUAAAGGUGGAGGGAAUGUGGCACCUUCGGGUGUGUUAUAGCCCUCUGUCACAUACAGCGGGUGGGAUUGAGGAACUCAGCACACCUUUAUGGUCGGGGUUCGCCCACGCUUGUGCUUAGAUGCUGGCGUAAUGGCUUUAAACGACCCGUCUUGAAACACGGACCAAGGAGUCUAACAUGCCUGCGAGUAUUUGGGUGGAAAACCCGAGUGCGCAAUGAAAGUAAAAG
rnacentral:rRNA from 1 species